rnacentral:lncRNA from 15 species
AUGAACUGUGUCUCUGGUCUGAAAGUGAAGCGUCAGAGUGGCCACAACAGGACAUUCACCUGCCAGUUUGUUGAUGAGAACAAUGUAAAGAUAGAGGCUGACUACACACCUGUCUUCGUAGGAGGGACAGGAGACGAUCAGCCCGAAAAACCUCAUUCAGAUUCUACAGAUUGGCCUCUGAACCCUAUCAUGUUGGCUCUAAGAAUAACAGGACUGAUCCUAAUGAUUGUAAUCACUGUUCUUGUCAUCAGACACAGAGUGAACACAAAACCACUUGAUGACGACAAUGUGAGUUAAAAAAUAAUUAAUAGUAUUUGGAAAAUAAAAGAUGUAACUUUUUCAUUUGAGACUGUUGUCCU